GUUGUAUGGUUAAGUGACUAAGCGUACAUGGUGGAUGCCUUGGCAGUCAGAGGCGAUGAAGGACGUACUAACCUGCGAUAAGCCGUGAGCAGUCGGUAAGAGACAUUACGACUCACGGAUUUCCGAAUGGGGAAACCCACUUAGCAUAAGCUAGGUAUCGCUACGUGAAUACAUAGCGUAGCGAGGCGAACCGGGAGAACUGAAACAUCUAAGUACCCCGAGGAAAAGAAAUCAACCGAGAUUCCCUCAGUAGCGGCGAGCGAACGGGGAUUAGCCCUUAAGCAUCUUGGAAGUUAGUGGAACGGUCCUGGAAAGGCCGGCGAUACAGGGUGAUAGCCCCGUACACGAAAACAACCUUGAUGUGAAAUCGAGUAGGGCGGGACACGUGACAUCCUGUCUGAAUAUGGGGGGACCAUCCUCCAAGGCUAAAUACUCCUGACUGACCGAUAGUGAACCAGUACCGUGAGGGAAAGGCGAAAAGAACCCCUGUGAGGGGAGUGAAAUAGAACCUGAAACCGUGUACGUACAAGCAGUGGGAGCCCUUCGGGGUGACUGCGUACCUUUUGUAUAAUGGGUCAGCGACUUACAUUUUGUAGCGAGGUUAACCGUAUAGGGGAGCCGUAGGGAAACCGAGUCUUAACUGGGCGUCUAGUUGCAAGGUGUAGACCCGAAACCGGGUGAUCUAGCCAUGGGCAGGUUGAAGGUUGAGUAACAUCAACUGGAGGACCGAACCCACUAACGUUGCAAAGUUAGGGGAUGACCUGUGGCUGGGGGUGAAAGGCCAAUCAAACUCGGAGAUAGCUGGUUCUCCCCGAAAGCUAUUUAGGUAGCGCCUCGGACGAAUACUACUGGGGGUAGAGCACUGUUUGGGCUAGGGGGUCAUCCCGACUUACCAACCCCAUGCAAACUCCGAAUACCAGUAAGUAAUAUCCGGGAGACACACGGCGGGUGCUAACGUCCGUCGUGAAGAGGGAAACAACCCAGACCGCCGGCUAAGGUCCCAAAGUUCUGGUUAAGUGGGAAACGAUGUGGGAAGGCUCAGACAGCUAGGAUGUUGGCUUAGAAGCAGCCAUCAUUUAAAGAAAGCGUAAUAGCUCACUAGUCGAGUCGGCCUGCGCGGAAGAUGUAACGGGGCUCAAACCAGGCACCGAAGCCGCGGAUUCACGCUAAGCGUGAGUGGUAGGGGAGCGUUCUGUAAGUCUGCGAAGGUGUAUCGAGAGGUAUGCUGGAGAUAUCAGAAGUGCGAAUGCUGACGUAAGUAACGAUAAAGGGGGUGAAAAGCCUCCUCGCCGGAAGACCAAGGGUUCCUGUCCAACGUUAAUCGGGGCAGGGUGAGUCGACCCCUAAGGCGAGGCCGAAAGGCGUAGUCGAUGGGAAGCAGGUUAAUAUUCCUGCACGACUUGUAAUUGCGAUGGGGGACGGAGAAGGCUAGGUGGGCCAGGCGACGGUUGUCCUGGUGAAAGUGCGUAGGUGGUGUUUCUAGGCAAAUCCGGAGACACAACACUGAGAUACGAGACGAACACACUACGGUGUGGAAGCCAUUGAUGCCCUGCUUCCAGGAAAAGCCUCUAAGCUUCAGAUUACAAGUCAUCGUACCCCAAACCGACACAGGUGGUCGGGUAGAGAAUACCAAGGCGCUUGAGAGAACUCGGGUGAAGGAACUAGGCAAAAUAGAACCGUAACUUCGGGAGAAGGUUCGCUCUUGACAGUGAAGUCCCUUGCGGAUGGAGCAGUUGGGAGUCGCAGUGACCAGAUGGCUGGGACUGUUUAUCAAAAACACAGCACUCUGCAAACACGAAAGUGGACGUAUAGGGUGUGACACCUGCCCGGUGCCGGAAGGUUAAUUGAUGGGGUUAGCGCAAGCGAAGCUCUUGAUCGAAGCCCCGGUAAACGGCGGCCGUAACUAUAACGGUCCUAAGGUAGCGAAAUUCCUUGUCGGGUAAGUUCCGACCUGCACGAAUGGUGUAACCAUGGCCAUGCUGUCUCCACCCGAGACUCAGUGAAAUCGAAUUCGCCGUGAAGAUGCGGUGUACCCGCGGCUAGACGGAAAGACCCCGUGAACCUUUACUACAGCUUGGCACUGAACAUUGAACCUACAUGUGUAGGAUAGGUGGGAGGCUUUGAAGGCGUGACGCCAGUUGCGCUGGAGCCGUCCUUGAAAUACCACCCUUGUAUGUUUGAUGUUCUAACGCAGGCCCGUGAAUCCGGGUCGCGGACAGUGCCUGGUGGGUAGUUUGACUGGGGCGGUCUCCUCCCAAAGAGUAACGGAGGAGCACGAAGGUUGGCUAAUCCUGGUCGGACAUCAGGAGGUUAGUGCAAUGGCAUAAGCCAGCUUAACUGCGAGACGGACAGGUCGAGCAGGUACGAAAGUAGGUCAUAGUGAUCCGGUGGUUCUGAAUGGAAGGGCCAUCGCUCAACGGAUAAAAGGUACUCCGGGGAUAACAGGCUGAUACCGCCCAAGAGUUCAUAUCGACGGCGGUGUUUGGCACCUCGAUGUCGGCUCAUCACAUCCUGGGGCUGAAGUCGGUCCCAAGGGUAUGGCUGUUCGCCAUUUAAAGUGGUACGCGAGCUGGGUUCAGAACGUCGUGAGACAGUUCGGUCCCUAUCUGCCGUGGGCGUUGGAUGAUUGAAGGGAGUUGCUCCUAGUACGAGAGGACCGGAGUGAACGAACCUCUGGUGUUCGGGUUGUCACGCCAGUGGCACUGCCCGGUAGCUAAGUUCGGAAUCGAUAACCGCUGAAAGCAUCUAAGCGGGAAGCGAGCCCUGAGAUGAGUCAUCCCUGACCCCUUGAGGGUCCUAAAGGGCCGUUGGAGACCACAACGUUGAUAGGUGGGGUGUGUAAGCGCGGCGACGUGUUGAGCUAACCCAUACUAAUUACCCGUGAGGCUUAACCAUACAACACCCAAGAAGUGUUCU
rnacentral:rRNA from 1 species